rnacentral:rRNA from 1 species
GAUGAACGCUGGCGGCGUGCCUAAUACAUGCAAGUCGAGCGAACAGACGAGGAGCUUGCUCCGCGGACGUUAGCGGCGGACGGGUGAGUAACACGUGGAUAACCUACCUAUAAUACUGGGAUAACUUCGGGAAACCGGAGCUAAUACGGUAUAAUAUAUUGAACCGCGUGGGGGAAUAGUGAAAGUCGGUGGUGGUGGCAGUUAUAGAUGGAUGCGCGCCGCAUGAGCGGGUUGGUGAGGUAACGGAUUACGAAGGGUAGGAUGGGUAGCCGGGCUGAGAGGGUGACCUGCCACAUUGGGACUGAGAUACGGCCCAGACUCCUACGGGAGGCAGCAGUGGGGAAUAGUGCACAAUGGGCGGAAGCCUGAUGCAGCAACGCCGCGUGCGGGAUGACGGCCUUCGGGUUGUAAACCGCUUUCGCCGGUGACGAAGCGUGAGUGACGGUAAUGGGUAAAGAAGCACCGGCUAACUACGUG